AUUGAACGCUGGCGGCAGGCCUAACACAUGCAAGUCGAACGAGUGGCGGACGGGUGUGUAAUGUCUGGGAAACCGCCUGGUGGAGGGGGAUAACUACUGGAAACGGUAGCUAACACCGCAUUCUCUCGGAUGGCCCCAGAUGGGAUUAGCUAGUUGGUGGGGUAACGGCUCACCUAGGCGACGACCCCUAGCUGGUCUGAGAGGAUGACCAGCCACACUGGAACUGAGACACGGUCCAGACUCCUACGGGAGGCAGCAGUGGGGAAUAUUGCACAAUGGGCGCAAGCCUGAUGCAGCCAUGCCGCGUGUAUGAAGAAGGCCUUCGGGUUGUAAAGUACUUUCAGCGGGGAGGCGUUACCCGCAGAAGAAGCACCGGCUAACUCCGUGCCAGCAGCCGCGGUAAUUC
rnacentral:rRNA from 1 species